rnacentral:tRNA from 1 species
GGCUCUGUGGUGAAAUUCAUGGUGAGUUGCAAGCUCAUUGAUGUGCGUUAGCUGCGCGCCAGAGUCU